rnacentral:lncRNA from 1 species
GUUAAUUUAUCUACUUAUGUCAAAUCGUCCUGCCACCGUCCGAUUUUUUCAACAAGUUCAACGACAGGUUAAUUUUGAGUUUAAUAGGCCGACCUGUCAGGUUAAUUCCAACUUUUCCAUCCUAUAAUUGCAGGUUUAAUAGGCCGGCCCGACCUGCUCGACCUAUUUUGCCACCCCUACUUAGUGUCUCCCCUCCCCCUAAACAAUAUUCACUCAAUCUAUUUCUUAUUUUAAAUUAUACUUUUUUUUUUUUUUCAAGU